AUUGAACGCUAGCGGGAUGCCUUACACAUGCAAGUCGAACGGAGUGGCGAACGGGUGAGUAAUGUAUCGGAACGUGCCCAGUAGCGGGGGCUAACUACGCGAAAGCGUAGCUAAUACCGCAUACUCUUGGCUCGGCCGAUAUCGGAUUAGCUAGUUGGUGGGGUAACGGCUCAACCAGGAGCCGAGCCGUAGCUGGUUUGAGAGGACGACCAGCCACACUGGGACUGAGACACGGCCCAGACUCCUACGUGAUGCAGCAGUGGGGAAUUUUGGACAAUGGGGGAAACCCUGAUCCAGCCAUCCCGCGUGUGCGAUGAAGGCCUUCGGGUUGUAAAGCACGUUUGGCAGGAAAGCGGUACCUGCAGAAUAAGCACCGGCUAACUACGUGCCAGCAGCCGCGGUAAUUC
rnacentral:rRNA from 1 species